CAUUUGCACUCGCCGCCAAUCAGUGCCCCCACCACCUGCACUGAUAAAGAGCACACAGGUUACUCCCGGGUAAAGGUCUCUGACCUCGUGCAGUUUUGGUUUAGUCGCCCACGAUCAGUGGUUGUGAAAACACCACCCGGCCUCUGCUGUGCCAGCAGCAGGUUGGCCGCUUCCUCUCGUCAAUUGGAGGAUACGAACGUUCUGCGAGAAGAGUCAACGUGCUCUGUGGGGCCGUUGAUUUCGCAAUUGUCCGGCCCGGCAGAGCUGGUGUCCGCCAGCGUCGUUUGCAGAUGGAGCGCUGUCGCCAUGAAUUGCAGCGCUUCGUGCUCACGAGUGAGCACCACCUCCCCGGUCACCAACCACCCUAGUCAGCCGGCGUCUGGCCAAACAUCAGAUCGACCUUCGGAGCACCGACACCAUCAGGAGUCGCUCCCCUCACCGAGAUCAACUCGACACACAGCUCACAAUGAGUAUCUCUCUUUUGUGAUUUAAGUGAAUUCAAUCCGAACACUCGUCGAGUGAAAUUUUGAUUAUUUUUAUAUUUUUUUCCAAAUUGAUAUUUUUGCUACACAUUUACACUUUCUAUACACACAUUUAGCCCCACCUAUACUAACCACACACAGUUUAUACAAUUAAUUUGCAAAUACAAAUUUCUUAUUAUUUUUGCAUUGACUCGCUUUGCAAUUAAAACCCGUUGUUUGAAAAUUAACAUUAAAAAACAAUUUCUUUUCUUUUGCAAUUUUUUGUUCUUUAAUUUGAAAAUAUACCUUUUUGUGCAUCUUUUCUGAAUUUGUAAAAUCGCGGCAACUGCGCAAGACGACUGGCUACACUUUUCAGCAACUGAAAAAAGCCAAAUGCCUUUGGAUAAGAGCGGAAAAGUGUCUGCACGAGCAGGUGAAGUUCCUUGGAUAGUGAAUAGGCCAAAGCGACCAAACUGCAUGGAUAGCCAAACGACACGGUUCAGGGCUAUAUUAUUGAAAUUGCGUGUCCCAACCGUGAAAGUGCGUUUUACCAUAUGGAGGAGAUCUACUGCGAAUGGACUUAAUAGCCAGAAGCAGGACCUUCAGAAAGGCAACGAAGUCUACUAGCUAAUGCUGAUUGUUGCAUUUCCUGAUAAAAAAAGCCAAUUUCUGAAAAACAGAAUGGAUGAAAAAUCUAUGGACGAAAACACUUCCCAAGUGCUUGCUAAGUCCGUUACCUCCUCAUUUCCAGAUCUUACACGUGCAGCACAAGAUGAAGAAAUUGAAGGACCCGAAUUCGAGGCCAAGCGGAAGAAGCCUCUUGAGGCCCAAGUUGCCCCCUUUCUAGGACUCUAUAAUUCGGGCCAGUGGUGCUUCGCAAAUGUUGCGAUGCAAGUUCUUUUCAUGCAUCCACCUGUGCUUCAACUUCUCCAAACUAUGAACAUGGAGUUGAUUGAACUUGAUGAAGCAGAUAAGUUUGUUUUGACACUUCUUCAAGAAAUUUCAAAGCUCGUUGGAAAGAGCAUGGAAAGAAGUGCUGAAAGUCUCCUCCAAGACUUGGUUCAAUCCUUUCACUCUGCUCUCCACAUCUACUAUCAGUACGACAGUGACCGACAGCACGACAUGUGCGAAAUCUUGAUGCGCCUGAUGGCGCUGCUGAGUGCCUUCUGUGGAGAUGUUAGGACUGGCUGCUGUCCUGCAUUCCGUAAAACCUGCUUGAGUUGUGGGAGAAAAUUAGAGCAGAAAGUGAAUAGAGCGUUCAUUAGGAUAAUCCAAGCAAAAAACGGAGGCUCAGUUGACAAAAUUCUGGAGAAGUCGUUGUCAUAUGGAGAUGGAGAUGUGGGUCGUUGUUGUGACAACUCCAAAAUUAAAGAUCUGCUACUUUCUGACGCGCAUUUCAUCAAUUUACAAAUCAAUCGUGUGGAUGAUACUGGCAAGAAAACUGUCUACUCCGUGAAGCUUAGUAAGAUUUUAAAACUGGAAACAGAAAGCGAAAGACCCGAGUUAGGAAAAAAAAGCUUUUUAGAGUUUGAACUGGUAGGAACGUCUCUGCAUGUAGGUGAAAACUCAAAAGGUCAUUACUACUACCUGGCCUGGAGCGAUGCAGAUCAAAGCUGGUAUUCGAUCAGUGACGAGGAGGUGAAAAGGGUGACCCAACGCUCCCUAGAAAAGCUGGCUUGUGUGCAAGCAUGCCACGUUCUUUACCGGCGAAAGGGGAAUGUCUUUGAGGAGCGCAUCGUUGAUGAUACUGAAAAGGCUGAAAGUGAUAUGGAUGUCGCAAAACGACUGGAGUUUACAAAUUGCGCUUUAGGAGACAUGAAGAGCCUGCAAAAAAAUUUAGAUUUUAUUGAGAAGAAACUGCCGGCAGGCUUUGAUUUGAAGAUGAUUAUGAAAAAGUUCCCCUUUGAAUACGCGAACUCCUUGAACAUUUUAUUGAGACAGGAAAUUGUUCGUUAUGACAGGCUCCUCUUUACCAUUCAUGCUACCCUGAAGGACAUGAAAGUGAACAGCAACCAUGAAACUGAAGAAAUGAUGACUUGUCUUUUACUUGAUCAGAUUCCUCCACAGUGGUUGGCCGUCUCCUAUCCAACAACUAGCUCAUUUUCCUUAUACAUCGCAGACCUCCUGAAGAGGCUUGAAUUCUUUUCCGAAUGGAAAAAUUCAGGAGAGCCCAUGAUAUAUAGGCUGUCAGCCUUUUUUCCCCUCAGUCGUUCUUCGACAUAAUGAAGCAAAACUUUGCUAAAGCCCAUGAAGUAGCAGUGCGGGAAGUCAGUUUCGAGAUGAAAUUCCUUGAGUCUUAGUGUGAAGAAGUGAGCCAAGCGCCUGCGAUUGGCGCGUACUGUAGUGGCCUUGUCUUGCAUGGUGCUCACUUGAACCGAGAAACGGGGGUGUUGGUGGAGUGUCUGCCAGAUCAAACAUUUGAAGAGCUGCCGGUUGUUUGGAUUACUCCGAGUGUUAGGACAAGAGAGACCGAGAUGAGAGACCGAUACAUCUUGUGCAAUCUAUACCAUAAAAUCUCUCUGCACGUCAUCUGUCAGUGCACAAGCAAUGUGCCGAUGACUCAAAUCCAGAUUCAGUCCGAAAAUCCAAAACUCGGGAACAUUUCCAUGUCAUGCCAGCUGCCAGGAUGAGUAAGUUGGAUGAUAUUUAUUAAAUCUAUUGGACACUUAUGUGUUAAUUUUCUUAAAAUUCAAAUAGUUCAAUUUUCGGAAUCGGAACAGAUGAAAAUGACUAUAAUUAUAGUUGACUUUUAAUUUUUAUGACAAAAGUAUCAAGUAAUUUUUUCAGUAUUUUCGCUAUAUCAUGUUGCCCCUUUGUAAUCAUACUUUUUAGAUCUUUGUUUUUAUUAAUCUAAAGGAUAUUAAAAACAUGAUUGCUCAACCGUAUGAGUGUGGGGUAUUAUUUAAAAAUAUUUUUCCUAGUAAACAAUUCUUUAUUGUUUUUACCCUUUUUGAAUACAAAUGAAAUAGAAUGUUUGCUACCUCUGCUGGACACCUGUGUUUUGCAGGUUAUAGGAUGCCUGUAUCUUUUUAAUUUUUGGAUUAAAAAUGGCUUUGGGCUCCUGAAUAUAAAAGCUUAAUUAUUUUUAAGGCUGUUACUCUUAGAUCAAUUUUUAAGACUGACUCUUUGUGUAAUAUCUUACAUUUGAUAAUAAUAUUAGUUAUAAAGUUCUAUCUAUAUGCUUAACUCAACUUUUUAAUACUAAAAAUAAAAAAUAAAUAUGUUCCAAUUUAAUGAAUAGUUAUUCAUAUGUUAUUAUAAUCAGCCAGAUUAUUUUUUUCACUAUGUAGUCUUUUAUAUGUUUAACGCUGAAUUCUGUAGCAAAUAUGAUAGAUCAUUUCCAGUUCACAUGUGACGACUGCAGUCACACAAUUUAGCGGGAAUUAAUUAUUCUCCAAUUAUAAAAUUGAUGACGACUCGAGCUUCAGGUAUUUCCUGUUUUAGAUGCAACUGUACAAAUUUUUGUACUGUUCGUAAUUUUUGUGUUUUUGGUAUAAUUUUAUAACAGAGUGCACCUUAUUAUCAUUCUAAUCAUUC